rnacentral:sRNA from 1 species
AUAUCUCUCCGUACGGGAAGGAUGAGAAGCUUCGACUAAGGUUCGAUUCGAGCGAAAGCGAGAAAGCGUUGCCAACGGCAACGACCCGAAGGGCGAAGCGCGCA